AUCUGCAAAGGGCAAACCACGCGAAAGCGUGGGACGCAAAGUCAACGGUCUAAAGGGCUUCGGCUCCAUGACGGCAGGACUGCCAGA
rnacentral:ncRNA from 1 species